UACGUAGGGUGCAAGCGUUUGUCCGGAUUCAUUGGGCGUAAAGAGCUCGUAGGCGGCUUCGUAAGUCGGGUGUGAAAACCCCAGCUCAACCUGGGGACGCCACUCGAUACUGCGAUAGCUAGAGUCUGGUAGGGGAUCACGGAAUUCCUGGUGUAGCGGUGAAAUGCGCAGAUAUCAGGAGGAACACCGGUGGCGAAGGCGGUGAUCUGGGCCAGUACUGACGCUGAGGAGCGAAAGCGUGGGGAGCAAACAGG
rnacentral:rRNA from 1 species